rnacentral:rRNA from 1 species
AUGAUAAUAGAUAGGGUAGAGGUAGAAACUAUCAAUUCUUUUUGGAAAUUGGAAUUAUUAAAAGAAGUCUAUGGACUGAUAUCGAUUCUACCCAUUUUGAUCCUCCUUUUGGGAAUAACAAUAGAGGUACUCGUAAUUGUGUGGUUAGAAAGAGAAAUAUCUGCGUCGAUACAACAACGUAUUGGUCCUGAAUAUGCUGGCCCCCUGGGCCUGCUUCAAGCUAUAGCAGAGGGGACUAAGCUACUUUUUAAAGAAGAUAUUCUGCCAUCCCGAGGAGAUAUUUCUUUAUUUAGCAUUGGACCCUCUAUAGCAGUCAUAUCAGUUUUAUUAAGUUUUUUAGUUAUCCCUUUGGGAUAUCAUUUUGUUUUAGCCGAUCUUAGUAUUGGUGUUUUUUUAUGGAUUGCCAUUUCAAGUAUAGCUCCUAUUGGUCUUCUUAUGGCAGGGUAUAGCUCAAAUAAUAAAUAUUCUUUUUCAGGCGGUCUACGAGCUGCUGCUCAAUCCAUUAGUUAUGAAAUACCAUUAACUUUUUGUGUGCUAGCAAUAUCUCUACGUGUGAUUCAUUAA